CACAUAUAUAUUAACUUGAACAAUAACGUAAUAAAUCAUAGAUUCAUUAUCAUAUUCGGUAGCCAAAGGACAUAUUUAUUGUUAUAUGUUCGUAUGUUACAUUAUACACCCAUAGAAGUAAAAUAUAUAUAU
rnacentral:tRNA from 1 species